AGUGGCGGACGGGUGAGUAACGCGUGAGAAUCUGCCUUGGGGUCGGGGACAACCACUGGAAACGGUGGCUAAUACCGGAUAAGCCGAUUGGUGAAAGAUUUAUUGCCCGAAGAGGAGCUCGCGUCUGAUUAGCUAGUUGGUGAGGUAAGAGCUCACCAAGGCAGCGAUCAGUAGCUGGUCUGAGAGGACGAUCAGCCACACUGGGACUGAGACACGGCCCAGACUCCUACGGGAGGCAGCAGUGGGGAAUUUUCCGCAAUGGGCGAAAGCCUGACGGAGCAAGACCGCGUGAGGGAGAAAGGCUCUUGGGUUGUAAACCUCUUUUCUCAGGGAAGAAGCUCUGACGGUACCUGAGGAAUCAGCCUCGGCUAACUCCGUGCCAGCAGCCGCGGUAAUACGGAGGAGGCAAGCGUUAUCCGGAAUUAUUGGGCGUAAAGCGUCCGCAGGUGGCGAUUCAAGUCUGCUGUCAAAGCACGGGGCUUAACUCCGUAAAGGCAGUGGAAACUGAAUAGCUAGAGUGCCGUAGGGGUAGAGGGAAUUCCCGGUGUAGCGGUGAAAUGCGUAGAGAUCGGGAAGAACAUCGGUGGCGAAAGCGCUCUACUGGACGGCAACUGACACUCAGGGACGAAAGCUAGGGGAGCGAAUGGGAUUAGAUACCCC
rnacentral:rRNA from 1 species